rnacentral:lncRNA from 1 species
UAAUGAUCAACGCUUGACCAAACCAAGUUUUCUUGCUUCCUGCAGCGUAUUUGGUCCAAAGGUAUCAUGCAUCAACACCUGAUCCAUCUCUCUAGUUGUCUUGCUGGGGCAGGACCUGUGAAUUUGAAGUCUAGUUGUUUGAGCAUAUCACUUAGGUCUGUGUGCAAAUAAGGCCAAUCAUUUCUCUCAGUAUACCACACCUAUAAAUUUGACACAGUUAUCGAUUAAAUCUAUUAAUUGCUUGUGUACCAUCAGUGGAUCUGAAUCAUUCUCAAAAUCGAUUUUCCGAUGGUACAAGUGGAAUUGAAACCCUGUCGUCAAACCCUAAAAUUGCCUACGAUCACCGAUAACAUGGCCAUGAUGGCCGUUGGCCAGCCUCCGGUGGAGGUUAGGUCAGCAGCACUUACUGCGACUAAAGAACCUGCGAAAGUAAUGUAUGCGAAUACCAUAAAACCACAAUACAAACCUAUACCAUUGAAGCAGAUAACGUAUUUACAUGGGGAGCCAAGAAUUGUUUGGGAAGAGGAGGAGGUCAGUCAAAUGAUUAUUAACAAGGACUUGCAAUAUGCAGUGAUAUGGAAAUUUUCAUAUGGUUGGCCAGAAAUACAAGAUCUCAGGAGGUUAAUCCCUAGGCAAUGUGAAUUGAAAGGGGAAGUGAACAUUGGAUUGCUGAGUAAUAGAUACAUAUUAAUAAGGGUGACGAGGCUGGAUGACUUCGUGAAUCUACUGUCAAAGCCACAGUUUUACAUUACACAACUAUUAGUCACAUCCAAUGCGCACUCUAAACUGGGAUCCAUUGUUUGAUCCAGCGGAUGAAACAUCAAUAGCGAUAACAUGGAUUUUCUUUCCAUCAUUACCAUCAAUUUUCUUGGGAAAGAAGCAGUUUUCUCGUUGGCAGUAGUUGUAGGUAAACCCUUGCAAGUAGAUGUAGCCACACAAAAUAAAACCAGGCCAAGUUGUGCAAGUGUCAAAGCGAAAGUCGACUUAUUAGGGGAAUUUCCAAAGAGGAUUAAUGUGGGUAUGAGAAUGAAAUCAAGAGAAGUCAAGGAAAAGUGGGUGACUAUAAGAUAUGAUUAUGUGCCAAAAAAUUGUAAAACAUGCAAACUUCGGGGACACAAUGCGAAGGAGUGUUUUAUCAUUCAUCCAGAGUUAUACCCUAAAGAGGAGGAAGAAGAAAACAAGGAAAAUAAGGAAGACGAUAAGAAAAAAGGAAAUCUAGCAGGAGAGAAGAAAGAAGGAAAUGACACCACAAAAGAAGAUAAAGGAAAAACAAAGCAAGGAGAAAAUACAGAAUUCCAGGAGCAAAAGAGGAAAAAAGGGUCCAGAAAAGGAAGACAGAAUCAUAGAGGAAGAAUGGAGAUGAGAUGGAAUUUGAGACCCUAAAAUAAGGAGCAAGAAGUUUUGACUGGUAAUAAAUUUGGGGCAUUGGAAGAGAACAUAAGGGGUGUUUGGAUGAGCGUUUUUUUUUAAGUGACUUAAAAGCUAAAAGCAAAAAACCUACUUUUGGCCUUUUUUCUUUAUACUUUUUAAGCCUAAAGUAAAGUGCUUAAAAGCAUUUUUUAUUUUUGCCAAACACCUCCAAAAAUAAAAAAAGUGUUUAAAAGCCAAAAACACUUAAAAAUAAGCCAAUCCAAACAUCUUCAUAGAAGGGGAUAAAGAGGAAAUGAUGGAGAAAGAGAGAGUAACAGAAAUCAAGAAAAAUACUAAAGAUAAAGAGGCAAACAAAGAGGAUAAGGACAGAGACAUGGAGAAGGACUCUGUCAGUUCUAUGGGAUCCAACAGUAAAAGCAAACAAAAUGAAACACAAGGGUCAGUUGUGAAGAAUACACCCUAUGAAGAGAAGGUGAAUACCUUAGUACAAUUACAGUAGUCACCGGAGAAGUCAUCACAAGGUGUAGUGGACAUGCAAGAGAGAACAAUUCAGAUCAAACACAGAAGACACCAGAAAAGGCAACACAAGAUGAAGUGGAACUGGCAAGGGAGGAGGAAAUAAAGUCACCACUAUUUAUAUGACAGUGACAGGACAAUAUGAAUAUAGAAUAGAUGAAGGAGGAGGAGAAUCAGGGACUGAGAUUCCUUAAAUUAACACAUAUACUAAUCAAGAAAUCAAAGAUAAGUAAAGCACAAAUGACAAUAUGGAAGUUAAUGUAGAAGAAGUGAGACUUGUCGCCAAGGCAAAUAGGGCAGCUCAGAGGAAAGAAUAUAAAGGGGUCAAAACCUACAUUGCCCCAGUCACAAAUGAAUACAAGGAGGAAGAAGGUUUCAUCUUUUACCUCUGAUCAAUGAUUAACAAGGUAUUUUUUUGGAAUAUCAGGUCUGUGAGGACUCAAAAUGCUUUUGAGAAACUAAUGGAUCUGUAUAGGAGACAUCAUUACUCUUACAUUGCUAUAUUCGAACCUUUUCAAAGCCCAAGUGAAUAGGAGAAUUAUAGAAGAAAAUUGGGGAUGCUUAAUGCUAGAGUCAAUUCUUUUGCAAAAAUAUGGAUUUUUUGGGAAGAUUAUCGGGAGGAAAAAGACUGUAUAAAUACAAUUCAACAGAUUACAAUGACCUUUCAACUAAGGGGAGGAGCUGUGUUUCAGGGUGACACCAGUGUAUGCAAGAUGCAAUGCUUUAGAAAGGCUGGAGCUUUGGGAUGAUUUGGAAAUUGUUGCAGAUCAAACUAGCAUUCCUUGGUGGUAGGAGGAGAUUUCAACACUAUUGCAGAUGAGUCACAGAAAUUGGGAGGCUUAUCAGUUGCUCAGCAAGAAACUACAGAUUUUACAUACUGCAUGAACGCUUGUUCUCUAAAUAAACUAAAAUUCACCGGAAGUUGCUAUACAUGGUGGAAUGGUAGAAUUGCAGAGGAAAGCAUCUUCAAAAGGCUUGAUGGAGUUUUGGGAACAAUGAGUUUAUGCAAAAACUCCCCAACAGUGAGGUGCACCAUUUGAUUAGACAAGGGUCAGAUCAUGCGACGCUGCAUGAGUUAUGCAAUACAUCAGAGGAACAGGUGCUUAAGCCUUUCAAAUUUUUGAAUUUCCGGGCAAAACAUAAAGAUUUCAUUAAAGUGGUGGAGGAAAACUGGAAUGAAGAGGUGAAAUGAGGAAAACCGGAAUGAAGAGGUGACGUGGUCUCCAUUUACUAUUGUGCAUUCCAAAAUGAAGAAGGUCAAAACUAAUUUGGCACAGUGGAGUAAAAAGACCUGUGGGAAUAUUUUUUAGAGAAUAGCCACUUUGGAGGACAUUGUUAAAUCCAAGGUAGUGCAAUUAGAAGUGGCACCUACGGAGAAAAAUAGAAGUGAGCUUAAGCUUGCAGAAGCUAACUUGAAGAGAUUUUUGAACAUGGAGGAGGAAUAUUGAAGGCAGAAAGCUGGAAUGAAAUGGCUCAUUUCAUGCCUAUGUGAAAGAAAGAAGGAGAAAGAUGCAGAUUAAUGAAAUUCAAACAAUGCAAGGGGACAUGAUCAGCACCUUGCGAACAUUGGAGAAGAAGCUGUUAAUGCCUUUAAGGAGCAGUUCAAGGAAAACGUGGAGGCAAGCAACUAUGACAUGCUCAAAUGUAUCCCGCAAUUGAUUAAGGGGAGGAGAAUGAAGAAAUGGGGAGCAUGCCAACCAUAGAGGAGGUUAAAGAGGUGGUUUUUUCACUAAAUUCUGAUAGUGCUAGUGGACCUAAUGGUUUCUCAAGGCAGUUUUUUCAAUCAAGUUGGGAGAUCAUUGGUAAUGACAUACUAAUAUGGUAAAGGCAUUCUUUUGUGGGUGUGAAUUACCAAGGUAUGUGACUCACACUAAUCUGGUACUUAUUCCUAAAAAAGAGGUGGUCUAGAAGUUUGGUGACCUGAGACCUAUUAGCCUAAGCACCUUUACUAAUAAGAUUAUUUCAAGAGUGCUUCAUGAAAGGAUAGUUAAGCUGCUGCCUAGGCUAAUAUCACAAAACCAUCUGGUUUUGUGAAGGGCAAGAGUAUCACAGAAAAUGUGUUGCUAGCACAAAAGAUUAUAAGGGACAUUAACAGGAGGAAUAAGAUACACAAUGUAGUGGUAAAAUUGAACAUGGCUAAGGCAUAUGAUAGAGUCUCAUAAAAGUUCCUGGUUAAGUUAAUGAAGAGCUUUGGAUUUAUCAUAGAAGAUCAUUGAUUUGAUAGUGAGGCUUAUAAGCUGUAACUGGUAUUCAGUUUUUAUGAAUGGACAAUCAUUUUUUUUUUUCCAAUCAUCCAGAGGCCUCAAACUGAUCCUUUAUCACCUACCUUUUUUAUUAUUGCAGCAGAGGUUCUUGCAAGGAAUUUGAAUGAGCUUUUUGAAGAUCCUGAGUACAAAGGGUAUGGUUUGCCUAAAUGGAGUCCAAAAAUCAAUCAUUUAUCCUAUGCAGUUGAUACCAUUUUAUUUUGUUCAGGCCAUUUGACCUCCAUGAAGUAAAUGAUGAAAGUAUUGAGAGAAUAUGAGAUAGUAUUAGGACAAAUGAUUAAUUUAGAGAAGAGUUCUGUAUAUCUACAUGAAAAAGUUUCAAUUGGAGUAAGCAAUCAAAUAAAAAGGAUUGCAGGAGUAAAACAAGGAUCCUUUCCUUUUUUCUACCUUGGAUGCCCUUUGUUUUAUGGGAGAAAGAAUAAAAGACAUUUUGAAUAACUGAUCAAGAAAGUUAUGAAAAGGCUGAGUUUGUGGCAGAAUAAACUUUUGUCAUUUGGAGGUAGGUAUAUCGUGAUAACACAUGUAUUACAAUCUAUGCCUGUCUACCUAUUGUCAGCAUUGAAUCCUCCCAGCAUGUGUUAUAAACGAGUUGCAUAAAAUUUUUGCUCGAUUUUCCUGAGCAAAUGCUACUCGUUCAAGAAACAAUCAUUGAGUUUCAUGGGAAACAUGUGCUAUCAUAGGGAAGGAGGAAUAGGGUUCAGAUCAUUACGUGUAGUCUCAAAGGCUUUCUUUGUUAAGUUAUGGCGGAAUUUCAGAGUCUCCACAUCAUAGUGGAAUAAAUAUUAAAAGAAAAUGUCACCCUAUAAUGGUGAGAGGCUUUGGAGCCUCUCAUGUGUGGAGGCAAAUGGUUGAAGUUAUAGAGGAGGUGGAACACAACAUAUGAUGGCAGGUGAAAGCAAGCAUCUCUAGUUUCUGGUUUGAUAAAUGGACCAAACAUGGAGCCCUUUACCAUGUAGAGGGGGACAAUGUAGUUAAGGAGGAACUGGAGUUAAGGGAGUCUUGUAGAGAGGGAAGAUGGGACGAAGUGAAACUAAGGAGUAAGCUGUCAGAGAAGAUGACAAAUCACAUCCUGGAAAAUAUAAAGCCUCUCACAGAGUUGGAGACAAAUGAUACACCUUGGUGGAUGGGGAAUUCUCAAGAAAAAUUUACAGUCAAGGCGUCAUGGGAAAUCAUGAGUCAAAAGUAAGAACAGAAAGAAGAGUACAAGCAGAUUUGGGUUAAAGGGUUACCUUUAAUGAUAAACAUUUUCAUGUGGAAGGCUUGGAAGGGAAGGAUGGCCACAUUUGAUAACAUGAAAAGAAUGAGAAUCAAUAUUGUAUCUAGAUGCUGGUGCUGUGAGGAGAAAGAUGAGGAGACAAUGGCCCACUUAUUUCUAACAACCCCCAUAGCCACUAGACUAUGGAGGCAGUUUGCUAUUUUUGCAGGAAUAGACAUUGAAGACAUGCAUUUGCAGCAAAUCAUCUCCACCUGGUGGACAAUGAAUGCAACACUAAAACUAGAGGCAGUAUACAAAGCUAUCCCAGCAAUCAUAAUGUGGACCAUAUGGAAGAGAAAAAAAUGCAAUAAAGCAUGGUGGGAAAGUAACAUGUAUGGAAAUGGUAUGGCAGGCUCAGGAUCUAAUUAGAAAGCUGAUAAAAUGUUACAUCCCUGGAUUAGGAUAGGAAAGGAGUGUUGGCCUCACAUUGUUAUUAAGUUGAGGGAAUACAAGCCAAAAUUACACUAUUAAAGUGUCAUAACAAGCUCAAAUGUAACACAGAUGGUGCAAGUAGAGGCAGUCCAGGAUUGAGUGCCUUUGCCUUCUACAUUAGAGAUGAAAAUGGUCAUAUGGUCCUUGCUAGAGCUAAAGGAAUAGGAGUUGCCACACACACAGUAGCAGAAAUGAAGGCUAUUCAGGAGGCUUUGUAAUUCAAACAAGAGGAGCUAGGGAAGUAACUUUAGAGACAGAUUCUCUUAACUCUAAAGAGUGAUAGACAGACGGGUGGAAAGAGCCAUGGGAACUAAUUGAUCAUAUAGAAGAUAUAAGGUACAGACUACAGUUAACCCAAGCACAAAUCAAGCACACAUUCAGAGAAAGGAACACAGUAGCAGAUGCAUAGGCAAAUGAAGUAAUUGCUACACAAAACUCGGUGGACUAUCAUAGUUUCUAUGAGUUAUCAACAACAAUUAGAAAGCAAAUAAACAUGGAUAAGACUCAAAUCCUCAAUUUCAGGAUUCAGGCAAGGAAAAUUAACACUAAAGCAUAAAAAGAGAAGCAUGCAUAGGAUUGAGAAGCAGUCACACAGCAUAAAAAGAGCUACAACGGAUCCCGAUAAUUACAAUGCCAUGGGAAUCAGGAAUAAACAUGAGCACAAAGAUAAGUCUAGCUAAGUCUAGCUAGAUGCCCUACCUGGCAAAAACCUUCACCAAAAAAAGGGAUAGAUGGAGCUUCCCUCCACAGCAACUAAGUCUUGACAGCGACAUGAAAGAGAAUAGCAAUGACACAACAAUAUUUGCAUAAAGCAAGACACAAUUCAGAGAUUGAAGAGUUAAAAUAUGAGGAAGUGGACAAAAGAGGAGAAACAGUAGGUGUUUGGAUUGACUAAUUUUUAGGUGCUUUUAGCUUUUAAGCACUUUUUCAGUUUUGGUGGUGUUUGGCAAAGUAAAAAAGUGCUUUUAAGCACUUAUUUUUAAGUCAAAAAGUGUCAAAAUAAGCCACAAGCCAAAAGCCAAAAGCCAAAAGCCAAAAGUAGGGUAGUACCAACUUAUGGCUUUUGGCUUUUCGCUUAUAAGCUCCUUAUUAAAAGCCAAUCCAAACAGGCCCAUAAUCGACUUACGAAGCUUCAAGAAUCUGAACAUUGACAUCACAUUACUUCAGUACCUUGGGGAUAAACCCUGACCACCUGAAAAGAAGAGCAGAGGGUCAGAUCUGAGCUACAAAAGCAAAUUGAGAGGAGAGAAAGUGAGCUCACCAGAUGCAAGUGAAGAUGAUAGACAGAGCAUAACCAUCAGUAAGCAAGGAUGGAGCUUGAAGAUGAUACAAAGGAGGUACAAGAUGAACUGCCGAUUCAAGCUUGGAUGGCACAUCCCACAAAGGCGGCGAUGAAGAGUACCGAGUACUCUUGGACAACAAUGAAUAUUUUUACUACUUUUAGGAAACUUUUCGCAUUCCUUUUCUUUGAACUGGGUUAUUUAUUGGAUCCGGAUCUUU